rnacentral:rRNA from 1 species
AUGUUGUUAUCCACGGGUGAAGUGGGGCGUGAGGCUCCGAAACCUAGAGAAUUUCAGUUCGAUUUGGCGUGGGUUAAAGAUGAUAGAUUCCUCCCGCUGGUUCAGAAAAUUUGGGUGUGUAAGGUUUUCUCUUCUGACCCCAUCGAUGUCUUAAACAUCAAACUCAAGAGAUUCAAGUCUUAUUUUUAAGGGUGGGGUUCGGAUAAAUUUGGUCAUGAUAAGAAAAGAAAGGAUGACCUCCGGAUGGAGCUGGAACUGUUGGAAGAGUUAGAAGAAGAGGCCCCUCUUUCCCCUGAGCUGUACAGUAGGAAGAUCGAUGCCUGUUUUGAACUUCAUGAGCUGCUUGUUAAUGAGGAAAUUUUUUGGUUGCAACAAUCGCACGAGCGAUGGUUGCUUAAAGGGGAUUUAAAUACCGAUUACUUCCAUCGUAUAGCUAAUGGGCGUAAAAGGAAAAACACGAUCCACUCCCUUAAGGUGGGUUAUACGGAGAUAGAAGGUACUAAUAAGCUGAUCGCUCAUGCCACAGAGUUCUAUAAAGAACUAUUCGGGACAGCUUCUGGAAACCAGUUUCACCUGGACCCUGACACAUGGACUCCGGAGGAAAAACUUAGUAAGGAAGAUAACACUAACCUGUGUAGAGAAUUUUCUGAAGAGGAGGUCAAGGAGGCCCUUUUUGAAAUGGCUCCCAAUAGAGCUCCUGGACCUGACAAUAUAUCGGUAGAAUUCUACCAAGUAUGCUGGGAUAUUGUCAAGGAUGAUAUCAUGGUCUUGUUUAGACACUUUCGUCAAGGGACGUUGGAUGUUCAAAGGUUGAACUACGGGAUCAUCACUUUGCUCCCGAAGCUCUCCGGGGCUGACAAAAUCCAACAGUUCAGACCCAUUUGCUUGCUUCGUUGCCCUUAUAAACUUAUCACAAAAGUCCUAGACCGCCGAGUCUUGGUUUAUGCUGACAAGCUAAUUAGCCCAGUCCAGAAUGCCUUUGUCAAGGGUAGGAACAUUAUGGAUGGGGUGCUUUCACUCCAUGAAAUCCUUAAUUACACACAUGUGAAGAAAAAGGUUGGGGUGGUGUUGAAACUGGAUUUUGAAAAAGCGUAUGAUAAGGUUAACUAG